GAUGGAACAAAUAGUAUAUUGCAAAACACAAGUUCAAGCUGACUACAAAUAUGUGCAGUUUCUUACCCACAUGUGAUUCAGUUUUGUUACAAAUCAAAGUGCAACAAAUAAAGAAAGAAAACUUGCUAUGAUCUGUUGUAGAAAGUAAAAAGAUAGUCCCCACGUUUAAAAAAUAAAAAAGAAGAAAGAAUGACGUCUAUGAGUGGACACAAGGGCACUACUUCUUCGCCAAGUGAACAAGAAUGAUGUCUACGAGUGGC
rnacentral:lncRNA from 1 species